GCAGUCGAACGAUGACCCUGGUGCUUGCACUAGGUGAUUAGUGGCGAACGGGUGAGUAACACGUGAGUAACCUGCCCCCGACUCUGGGAUAAGCCCGGGAAACUGGGUCUAAUACCGGAUAUUCACUUCCUUCCGCAUGGAGGGUGGUGGAAAGAUUUAUCGGUGGGGGAUGGACUCGCGGCCUAUCAGCUUGUUGGUGGGGUAAUGGCCUACCAAGGCGACGACGGGUAGCCGGCCUGAGAGGGUGACCGGCCACACUGGGACUGAGACACGGCCCAGACUCCUACGGGAGGCAGCAGUGGGGAAUAUUGCACAAUGGGCGAAAGCCUGAUGCAGCGACGCCGCGUGAGGGAUGACGGCCUUCGGGUUGUAAACCUCUUUCAGUAGGGAAGAAGCGAAAGUGACGGUACCUGCAGAAGAAGCGCCGGCUAACUACGUGCCAGCAGCCGCGGUAAUACGUAGGGCGCAAGCGUUAUCCGGAAUUAUUGGGCGUAAAGAGCUCGUAGGCGGUUUGUCGCGUCUGCCGUGAAAGUCCGGGGCUCAACCCCGGAUCUGCGGUGGGUACGGGCAGACUAGAGUGAUGUAGGGGAGACUGGAAUUCCUGGUGUAGCGGUGAAAUGCGCAGAUAUCAGGAGGAACACCGAUGGCGAAGGCAGGUCUCUGGGCAUUAACUGACGCUGAGGAGCGAAAGCAUGGGGAGC
rnacentral:rRNA from 1 species